UACGUAGGGUCCGAGCGUUGUCCGGAAUUAUUGGGCGUAAAGAGCUCGUAGGCGGUCUGUCGCGUCGGCUGUGAAAACCCGGGGCUCAACUCCGGGCCUGCAGUCGAUACGGGCAGACUAGAGUUCGGUAGGGGAGACUGGAAUUCCUGGUGUAGCGGUGAAAUGCGCAGAUAUCAGGAGGAACACCGGUGGCGAAGGCGGGUCUCUGGGCCGAAACUGACGCUGAGGAGCGAAAGCGUGGGGAGCGAACAGG
rnacentral:rRNA from 1 species